GCCGGGCGCGGUGGCACGCGCCUGUAGUCCCAGCUACUCGGGAGGCUGAGGUGGGAGGAUCGCUUGAGUCCAGGAGUUCUGGGCUGUAGUGCGCUAUGCCGAUCGGGUGUCCGCACUAAGUUCAGCAUCAAUAUGGUGACCUCCCUGGAGCGGGGGGCCACCAGGUUGCCUAAGGAGGGGUGAACCGGCCCAGGUCGGAAACGGAGCAGGUCAAAUCAACACCCAUAAAUCAAAUGCUUUUCUGUAUAUCAGUGACAAAUCCUCAGAAAGGGAAAUGGGGAAAACUAUCUCAU
rnacentral:SRP_RNA from 1 species